UGUAUUUUGAGGAUAAUUACGAUGUGGAAACGCGAACUAAUCUUCUUCGACAGCGCCGUUUUAUUAGAGAUAAUUCUAAUCCUACAGAGCUACCUAACACGGUAUUUGUUGCGAAUUUCCGCUUAAACAAGGGCGCAUUUAUGUAUGUGCUGGAUAAAAUCAAAGACAAAUUUCAUUGUCGGAUGUCGUCUUCCAUAACGCCGAUGUUAAAAUUGUGUGCCGCGCUCAGAUUUUUUGCACAUGGCAGUUACCAACAAGCUAUAGGGAAUGAAUUUCAGUUGGGACUUGCUCAGCCAACAGUUUCCCUUAUUUUAAAAGAGAUCAUACCCAUUUUGGAAAAUGAAAUUUGUCGUACCCAUAUAAGCGUAGAUAUGAGUGAAGAAGAAAAGCAGCAGGCAAGAAGCAAAUUUUAUUCAAGAUCGGGAAUACCAAAUGUAAUAGGCUGCAUCGAUGGAACCCAUAUUGCGAUUUAUGCUCCUACCACAAACAAACACCUCUAUCUAAACAGAAAAGGAUUUUUUAGCAUAAAUGCAAUGAUUGCUUGUGAUCAUGAUAUGAAUAUCCGUUUUGUGGAUGCUAG